UACGUAGGGUGCAAGCGUUUAAUCGGAAUUACUGGGCGUAAAGCGUGCGCAGGCGGUUCGUUGUGUCCGAUGUGAAAGCCCCGGGCUUAACCUGGGAAUGGCAUUGGAAACUGGCGGGCUUGAGUGCGGCAGAGGGGGGUGGAAUUCCGCGGUGUAGCAGUGAAAUGCGUAGAGAUGCGGAGGAACACCGAUGGCGAAGGCAGCCCCCUGGGGUCGACACUGACGCUCAGGCACGAAAGCGUGGGGAGCAAACAGG
rnacentral:rRNA from 1 species